UAGGGAAUCUUCGGCAAUGGACGGAAGUCUGACCGAGCAACGCCGCGUGAGUGAAGAAGGUUUUCGGAUCGUAAAGCUCUGUUGUUAGAGAAGAACGUUGGUAGGAGUGGAAAAUCUACCAAGUGACGGUAACUAACCAGAAAGGGACGGCUAACUACGUGCCAGCAGCCGCGGUAAUACGUAGGUCACGAGCGUUGCCCGGGUCUAUUGGGCGUAAAGCGAGCGCAGGCGGUUCUUUAAGUCUGAAGUUAAAGGCAGUGGCUUAACCAUUGUACGCUUUGGAAACUGGAGGACUUGAGUGCAGAAGGGGAGAGUGUAAUUCCAUGUGUAGCGGUGAAAUGCGUAGAUAUAUGGAGGAACACCGGUGGCGAAAGCGGCUCUCUGGUCUGUAACUGACGCUGAGGCUCGAAAGCGUGGGGAGCAAACAGG
rnacentral:rRNA from 1 species